rnacentral:rRNA from 1 species
CUGGCGGCGUGCCUAAUACAUGCAAGUCGAACGGCGUUUCUAUGGAAGCUUGCUUCCACUGAGAAGAUAGUGGCGGACGGGUGAGUAACACGUGGGUAACCUGCCCAUAAGAGGGGGAGUAACAUCCGGAAACGGGUGCUAAUACCGCAUAGUUUUCUUGAUCGCAUGAUCGAGAAAGGAAAGACGGCCUUUGUGCUGUCGCUUAUGGAUGGACCCGCGGCGUAUUAGUUAGUUGGUGAGGUAAUGGCUCACCAAGACGAUGAUACGUAGCCGACCUGAGAGGGUGAUCGGCCACAUUGGGACUGAGACACGGCCCAAACUCCUACGGGAGGCAGCAGUAGGGAAUCUUCCGCAAUGGACGAAAGUCUGACGGAGCAACGCCGCGUGAGUGAAAAGAAGGUUUUCGGAUCGUAAAACUCUGUUGUCAGAGAAGAACAAGUCGGAGAGUAACUGCUCCGGCCUUGACGGUAUCUGACCAGAAAGCCACGGCUAACUACGUGCCAGCCGCCGC